GUGUUGGUGGUUUAGUGGUAAGCAUAACUGCCAGCUACGCAGUGGACCCGUGUUUGAUUCCCGGCCAACGCA